rnacentral:rRNA from 1 species
AGAGACCGGCGCACGGGUGCGUAACGCGUAUGCAAUCUACCUUUCACAGAGGGAUAGCCCAGAGAAAUUUGGAUUAAUACCUCAUAGUAUAGCAGUUUCGCAUGAAACCACUAUUAAAGUCACAACGGUGAAAGAUGAGCAUGCGUCCCAUUAGCUAGUUGGUAAGGUAACGGCUUACCAAGGCGACGAUGGGUAGGGGUCCUGAGAGGGAGAUCCCCCACACUGGUACUGAGACACGGACCAGACUCCUACGGGAGGCAGCAGUGAGGAAUAUUGGACAAUGGGCGCAAGCCUGAUCCAGCCAUGCCGCGUGCAGGAUGACGGUCCUAUGGAUUGUAAACUGCUUUUAUACAGGAAGAAACACUCGGACGUGUCCAAGCUUGACGGUACUGUAGGAAUAAGGAUCGGCUAACUCCGUGCCAGCAGCCGCGGUAAUACGGAGGAUCCAAGCGUUAUCCGGAAUCAUUGGGUUUAAAGGGUCCGUAGGCGGUCAGAUAAGUCAGUGGUGAAAGCCCAUCGCUCAACGGUGGAACGGCCAUUGAUA